GCCGGGCGCGGUGGCUCACGCCUGUAAUCCCAGCACUUUGGGAGGCCGAGGCGGGAGAAUCGCUUGAGCUCAGGAGUUUGAGCCCAGCCUGGGCAACAUGGCGAAACCCCGUCUCUA
ensembl:misc_RNA Metazoa_SRP Metazoan signal recognition particle RNA